AGAAAAUGGAAAGUGAUUCUAUCCUCAGACAGUAGUUGCAAUUGUCUUUGGUUUCUGCAACUUGCAGCAGUGGACCAGGGAGCUGGAGAGGGCCUCAUAAAAAUCUGCCAGUCCUUCCAUGGCCUGUGUAAGAACCUGGUUGCUGCAAAGCCUCCUGACUCUUUUCACAAAUAAUGGCAGAAUUCCCAUCCUUUUCCUCUUGUCUCACUCCACCGUUAUGUAAUCCUAUAGUGUGUGUGGCACACAAGCUAAGAACUAUGAACAGAUUGAAAAUUU